CUGAUUUCUACCCACACUACUUCUAAUAAUGGGUUGUGUGAUUCAAUUGAUUUCUGAGUUUCCCCUCAGAUAAUGGGUUAUGUGAUUCAAUUUAUUUCUUUCAACUCUCCAUUGCCUCCACCAUUUUUAGACCGUCCAUCUUCAGUGCUGACAAUAUCAGCUCAACUCUUCUUGUCGGCCUUGUGUCGCCACGGUUGGAUCCUUUAACUCUAGCAUUACCACUUUGCACAUGAACACCAGCAACCAUUGGAGCAAAAAAGCGUUUCUACCUUCCUCCCUCCCUCUCUCUCUCUCUCUCUCUCUCUCUCUCUCUCUGUUGAUUCUGCUAAACACAUCUAUGUGCAACUAUAUAUAUUUUUCCCUAUAUUUAUGUAUAUAGAACAGAGACCUCUACUUAACUGCCCAUAUAUACUUAUUCAAAUCGAAAGCCUAGACCCUACUUUGUGAUUUUGAAAAUAGGGUAAUCACUGGCCUGCUACCACACCACUGUUAGCCACCAUUGUUCUUGCCAGGGCUAUUGACGAUCAUGGUGGCUGAUGCAUGGGAUGUUUAGGGCCAAUGGUGGUUAUGGAUAUGUUAAAAAGCUCGAUUUUUUGUUAAAGGUCGGUCCAAAUAAUGAGGUCUUCGAUCCUAAAGCUACAUUACCAUUCAAAACAACUUUGAAGGUGACUGUUUAUAUGGGUGAAGGAUGGUAUUUUGAUUUCUGUCACACACACUUUGAUACAUAUUCCCCACCAGAUUUCUAUACAAGGGUAAAUUGAUAGAGUCAUCAAUAUUGUAAUUGUUGUCAAUGUCUUGGAUAAUAUUCAUUUUGAUUACAAUAGAGACCUGCUAUUUCUCUUAUUAAAAGUCAUAACUAUAAUAAUGUUUGCUAGUCCUAUUUUAGACAAAAAAGGUGUAGAAGGAACCAUGGCAUUAAAAAAUGCUCAAUUUUCCAUUUCUGUUAUUUGCCAUAGUUUCAGGGAAAAAGUGGAUAUAGUUUCUUCUUAAAAUAUUUUGUUCAGUUUCUAAAUUAAGAGAGAAGCUAAUGAUCCACAGAAUGGAAUUGUGAGCCAUAGAAUUCAAGCAGUUCCACUCCAUAGUCACAAGGGAGAGAAGUAUAAAUCUGUAAAGCUUCUUAUGCGAUUUGAAUUUUUUUGAUAUAAUUGUGAGCCUAUGGUUUUUGGUUUUGUUUGUUUAUGGUUUUUUUUUAAAUUUUUUUUUUUUAAAACUUGUGUGUAAAUACUUAAGCUUGUUGUGUGUAAAAUAUAUAGAAAUAAAAUGUCUGUCAUUCUGUCUGGUGCUCUAUUUCAACUAUUUUUGUUUAGAACUUGUUAUCGUAGUGUUGCGAGAUUUAAACUGUUGAAAGAGUUUGCUUCCAUUUUCACCAUCGAUGCAAAUAAGGUUAUGGAAAGCCUUAAAUGAUCAAACAAGGAUCUGGAAAGAAAUUUGAUGGCUUCAACAAGGCCUCUUCAAGAAGUAGCAACGUUCAAUUGAAAUAGGCAUUAGCACUGGACUGUUAAUGGGAAGAGCAACAUAUUGAGCGAGCUCUUGUAGUUUCCAUAUCGAAGCAGUAGAACUUCUUUUUAUCAAGCAGAUGAAGUUAUGAGCCAGCAAAAUAGAAAACAUAAGGUCAAUCAAAUUCUAGAAAUUUUCCUACAAAGGUAUGUAUAGAAUAGCCUGAUUUUUAUUAUUAUCAACAUAUGCACUUUGGUUCCCUACAUGUUGACAAGAUUAUUUUCCAAAUUGAUAAGAUUUCCUUGGGUUUUUAAUCGUAUUUUUGUGUUGUGUUACAUGUACUCUUCUUUGAUUGGAUUCUAACAAGUCAAAGACUCUUGAGUUGAGAUUCUUUCUGCAAAAAAGCAUUCUCAAGUUCUAAUAGACUUCAAAAGGAGCCACUCAAGUCUUCAUUCUACGAUUUAGACAGUAAGGUGAAUGAAGCAUAUUUAGAUCUGAUCACCUCAUCUAAGAAGACUUUGGAUUAUCUACUGGAAUUACAGGAGGCAUUACUUGAGAAGAAUCCAUGCAUUGCUCAAGCCACAGAUGGCAACUCUGGCCAACCUCCCAAGCGUUCAGAAUUUUCUAGGAGCUCAAAUGGAGAAGAUGGUGAAGAAUGGUCAUAGAUAUCUGAAAUGCACUCAAGGUAUUUGCAUAAUCAACAUUCAAUUGCAUUUCUUUUGUAGAACAUUAAAUAUUUGAGAUGGAUAGAGCCUCUUAAACUAAGUUGUUGGUUAUAGUAAAAUUUUUGUUGAACUUGCAAUUUCUGUGGGUAAAGUGACAUUUUGUUUUACAUGCUUCAUGUCAUGCUAGAGGUAUUUAAUGUUAAGACAUUUGAAGGGUUGUGAUCAGUCGAACUUUAUCUUUUGUAAGACUAGAACAAUCUCUAUGAUCAAAGAAUUCAAAAACUUAGUUUUUCAAGUUUUUUUUUUUUUUUUAAAAAAUAUAUGUAAGCACAGUUUAAAACUUUUUGUUUAAUUCCUUUGUAUAUACUUUUGAACAUAUUUAACUUUCAUUUAUGAAACAUAUGACA